ensembl:snoRNA
GCUAAGACUAGAAUCACAACCAGAAACAGCAUUGUCCUGUCGUGCUAGAGUCCUCAGAGAAAAUCUACUGGUCCUGAUUUACUGGUACAGGUAAUCAGAAGUCCUAUGAUUGUCUGGUCAGAAACAUGC